CCUGGCUCUAUAAAAGCGCAACCCCUGAAUCUCAGAAUCAUUACAGCUGAUCGAUCUCUGAGGACCAAACGAGAAACCAGCUAACCCACCUACAAAUCAAACAACAUGGAUCCCUGCGACUGCUCCAAGACUGGAAAAUGCAACUGCGGAGGCUCUUGUACCUGCACCAACUGCUCCUGCAAAUGCUGCAAGAAGAGCUGCUGUUCAUGCUGCCCAUCAGGCUGCAGUAAAUGCGCCUCUGGAUGCGUGUGCAAAGGAAAUUCCUGUGACAAGAGCUGCUGUCAGUGAGGAGCCAAACCCAUCAACCCCUUAUUUCCUGUGCUGAGGAGCCUUUCUAAAAUCUGCCAUAUUCCAGAUUUGUAGGGAAUGC